AUUGAACGCUGGCGGCAUGCCUUACACAUGCAAGUCGAACGGUAACAGGUCUUCGGAUGCUGGCGAGUGGCGCACGGGUGAGUAAUACAUCGGAACGUGCCCAGACGUGGGGGAUAACGAGGCGAAAGCUUUGCUAAUACCGCAUACGAUCUAAGGAUGAAAGCAGGGGACCGCAAGGCCUUGCGCGUUUGGAGCGGCCGAUGGCAGAUUAGGUAGUUGGUGGGAUAAAAGCUUACCAAGCCGACGAUCUGUAGCUGGUCUGAGAGGACGACCAGCCACACUGGGACUGAGACACGGCCCAGACUCCUACGGGAGGCAGCAGUGGGGAAUUUUGGACAAUGGGCGAAAGCCUGAUCCAGCAAUGCCGCGUGCAGGAUGAAGGCCUUCGGGUUGUAAACUGCUUUUGUACGGAACGAAAAGGCUCUGGCUAAUACCUGGGGCACAUGACGGUACCGUAAGAAUAAGCACCGGCUAACUACGUG
rnacentral:rRNA from 1 species